UACGUAGGGUGCAGGCGUUAAUCGGAAUUACUGGGCGUAAAGCGUGCGCAGGCGGUUUGCUAAGACAGGUGUGAAAUCCCCGGGCUUAACCUGGGAACUGCAUUUGUGACUGCAUCGCUGGAGUGCGGCAGAGGGGGAUGGAAUUCCGGCGUGUAGCAGUGAAAUGCGUAGAUAUGCGGAGGAACACCGAUGGCGAAGGCAAUCCCCUGGGCCUGCACUGACGCUCAUGCACGAAAGCGUGGGGAGCAAACAGG
rnacentral:rRNA from 1 species